rnacentral:rRNA from 1 species
UUAAGCGACUAAGCGUACACGGUGGAUGCCCUGGCAGUCAGAGGCGAUGAAGGACGUGCUAAUCUGCGAUAAGCGUCGGUGAGGUGAUAUGAACCGUUAUAACCGGCGAUUUCCGAAUGGGGAAACCCAGUGUGUUUCGACACACUAUCAUUAACUGAAUCCAUAGGUUAAUGAGGCGAACCGGGGGAACUGAAACAUCUAAGUACCCCGAGGAAAAGAAAUCAACCGAGAUUCCCCCAGUAGCGGCGAGCGAACGGGGAGGAGCCCAGAGCCUGAAUCAGUGUGUGUGUUAGUGGAAGCGUCUGGAAAGGCGUGCGAUACAGGGUGACAGCCCCGUACACAAAAAUGCACAUAUUGUGAGCUCGAUGAGUAGGGCGGGACACGUGGUAUCCUGUCUGAAUAUGGGGGGACCAUCCUCCAAGGCUAAAUACUCCUGACUGACCGAUAGUGAACCAGUACCGUGAGGGAAAGGCGAAAAGAACCCCGGCGAGGGGAGUGAAAAAGAACCUGAAACCGUGUACGUACAAGCAGUGGGAGCCUCUUAAUGGGGUGACUGCGUACCUUUUGUAUAAUGGGUCAGCGACUUAUAUUCUGUAGCAAGGUUAACCGAAUAGGGGAGCCGAAGGGAAACCGAGUCUUAACUGGGCGUUAAGUUGCAGGGUAUAGACCCGAAACCCGGUGAUCUAGCCAUGGGCAGGUUGAAGGUUGGGUAACACUAACUGGAGGACCGAACCGACUAAUGUUGAAAAAUUAGCGGAUGACUUGUGGCUGGGGGUGAAAGGCCAAUCAAACCGGGAGAUAGCUGGUUCUCCCCGAAAGCUAUUUAGGUAGCGCCUCGUGAAUUCAUCUCCGGGGGUAGAGCACUGUUUCGGCAAGGGGGUCAUCCCGACUUACCAACCCGAUGCAAACUGCGAAUACCGGAGAAUGUUAUCACGGGAGACACACGGCGGGUGCUAACGUCCGUCGUGAAGAGGGAAACAACCCAGACCGCCAGCUAAGGUCCCAAAGUCAUGGUUAAGUGGGAAACGAUGUGGGAAGGCCCAGACAGCCAGGAUGUUGGCUUAGAAGCAGCCAUCAUUUAAAGAAAGCGUAAUAGCUCACUGGUCGAGUCGGCCUGCGCGGAAGAUGUAACGGGGCUAAACCAUGCACCGAAGCUGCGGCAGCGACACUAUGUGUUGUUGGGUAGGGGAGCGUUCUGUAAGCCUGUGAAGGUGGCCUGUGAGGGUUGCUGGAGGUAUCAGAAGUGCGAAUGCUGACAUAAGUAACGAUAAAGCGGGUGAAAAGCCCGCUCGCCGGAAGACCAAGGGUUCCUGUCCAACGUUAAUCGGGGCAGGGUGAGUCGACCCCUAAGGCGAGGCCGAAAGGCGUAGUCGAUGGGAAACAGGUUAAUAUUCCUGUACUUGGUGUUACUGCGAAGGGGGACGGAGAAGGCUAUGUUGGCCGGGCGACGGUUGUCCCGGUUUAAGCGUGUAGGCUGGUUUUCCAGGCAAAUCCGGAAAACCAAGGCUGAGGCGUGAUGACGAGGCACUACGGUGCUGAAGCGACAAAUGCCCUGCUUCCAGGAAAAGCCUCUAAGCAUCAGGUAACAUCAAAUCGUACCCCAAACCGACACAGGUGGUCAGGUAGAGAAUACCAAGGCGCUUGAGAGAACUCGGGUGAAGGAACUAGGCAAAAUGGUGCCGUAACUUCGGGAGAAGGCACGCUGAUAUGUAGGUGAAGCGACUUGCUCGUGGAGCUGAAAUCAGUCGAAGAUACCAGCUGGCUGCAACUGUUUAUUAAAAACACAGCACUGUGCAAACACGAAAGUGGACGUAUACGGUGUGACGCCUGCCCGGUGCCGGAAGGUUAAUUGAUGGGGUUAGCGGUAACGCGAAGCUCUUGAUCGAAGCCCCGGUAAACGGCGGCCGUAACUAUAACGGUCCUAAGGUAGCGAAAUUCCUUGUCGGGUAAGUUCCGACCUGCACGAAUGGCGUAAUGAUGGCCAGGCUGUCUCCACCCGAGACUCAGUGAAAUUGAACUCGCUGUGAAGAUGCAGUGUACCCGCGGCAAGACGGAAAGACCCCGUGAACCUUUACUAUAGCUUGACACUGAACAUUGAGCCUUGAUGUGUAGGAUAGGUGGGAGGCUUUGAAGUGUGGACGCCAGUCUGCAUGGAGCCGACCUUGAAAUACCACCCUUUAAUGUUUGAUGUUCUAACGUUGGCCCGUAAUCCGGGUUGCGGACAGUGUCUGGUGGGUAGUUUGACUGGGGCGGUCUCCUCCUAAAGAGUAACGGAGGAGCACGAAGGUUGGCUAAUCCUGGUCGGACAUCAGGAGGUUAGUGCAAUGGCAUAAGCCAGCUUGACUGCGAGCGUGACGGCGCGAGCAGGUGCGAAAGCAGGUCAUAGUGAUCCGGUGGUUCUGAAUGGAAGGGCCAUCGCUCAACGGAUAAAAGGUACUCCGGGGAUAACAGGCUGAUACCGCCCAAGAGUUCAUAUCGACGGCGGUGUUUGGCACCUCGAUGUCGGCUCAUCACAUCCUGGGGCUGAAGUAGGUCCCAAGGGUAUGGCUGUUCGCCAUUUAAAGUGGUACGCGAGCUGGGUUUAGAACGUCGUGAGACAGUUCGGUCCCUAUCUGCCGUGGGCGCUGGAGAACUGAGGGGGGCUGCUCCUAGUACGAGAGGACCGGAGUGGACGCAUCACUGGUGUUCGGGUUGUCAUGCCAAUGGCACUGCCCGGUAGCUAAAUGCGGAAGAGAUAAGUGCUGAAAGCAUCUAAGCACGAAACUUGCCCCGAGAUGAGUUCUCCCUGACUCCUUGAGAGUCCUGAAGGAACGUUGAAGACGACGACGUUGAUAGGCCGGGUGUGUAAGCGCAGCGAUGCGUUGAGCUAACCGGUACUAAUGAACCGUGAGGCUUAACCUU